rnacentral:lncRNA from 13 species
CGGAUUGUAGAAGCCUCGGGGGAAAAAAUCCAAGAUGGUGAAAAGUGAGGGCUGUGUUCCGAGAAAGAAAAGGACCCUACCUAAAAUGCUU